rnacentral:rRNA from 1 species
GACGAACGCUGGCGGCGUGCCUAACACAUGCAAGUCGAGCGGAGACAAGGCUUCGGCCUUGUUUUAGCGGCGGACGGGUGAGUAACGCGUGAACAAGCUGUCCUGCACAGGGGGAUAACAUUGAGAAAUCAGUGCUAAUACCGCAUGAGACCACAAUGCCACAUGGCGAAGGGGUCAAAGGAGCAAUCCGGUGCAGGGGGUGUUCGCGUCCCAUUAGAUAGUUGGCGGGGUAACGGCCCACCAAGUCAGCGAUGGGUAGCCGACCUGAGAGGUGAUCGGCCACACUGGGACUGAGACACGGCCCAGACUCCUACGGGAGGCAGCAGUGGGGAAUAUUGGGCAAUGGGCGGAAGCCUUACCCAGCAACGCCGCGUGAGGGAAGAAGGUUUUCGGAUUGGUAAACCUCGUAGUCCUUGGGGACGAAGAAGUGACGGUACCCAGGGAGGAAGCCCCGGACUAACUACGUGCCAGCAGCCGCGGUAAU